UACGUAGGUGGCAAGCGUUGUCCGGAUUUAUUGGGUUUAAAGGGUGCGUAGGCGGCCCUGUAAGUCAGUGCUGAAAUAUCCCAGCUUAACUGGGAGGGUGGCAUUGAUACUGCGGGGCUGAGAGUACAGAUGAGGUAGGCGGAAUUGACGGUGUAGCGGUGAAAUGCUUAGAUAUCGUCAAGAACACCGAUAGCGAAGGCAGCUUACUGGGCUGUAACUGACGCUGAGGCACGAAAGUGUGGGGGAUACAAACAG
rnacentral:rRNA from 1 species